ACGAACGCUGGCGGCAUGCCUAACACAUGCAAGUCGAACGAGACCUUCGGGUCUAGUGGCGCACGGGUGCGUAACGCGUGGGAACCUGCCCUUAGGUUCGGAAUAACUCCCCGAAAGGGGUGCUAAUACCGGAUAAUGUCUUCGGACCAAAGAUUUAUCGCCUUUGGAUGGGCCCGCGUUGGAUUAGCUAGUUGGUAGGGUAAAAGCCUACCAAGGCGACGAUCCAUAGCUGGUCUGAGAGGAUGAUCAGCCACACUGGGACUGAGACACGGCCCAGACUCCUACGGGAGGCAGCAGUGGGGAAUAUUGGACAAUGGGCGAAAGCCUGAUCCAGCAAUGCCGCGUGAGCGAUGAAGGCCUUAGGGUUGUAAAGCUCUUUUACCCGGGAUGAUAAUGACAGUACCGGGAGAAUAAGCUCCGGCUAACUCCGUG
rnacentral:rRNA from 1 species